rnacentral:rRNA from 1 species
GGUUAAGCGACUAAGCGUACACGGUGGAUGCCCUGGCAGUCAGAGGCGAUGAAGGACGUGCUAAUCUGCGAUAAGCGCCGGUAAGGUGAUAUGAACCGUUAUAACCGGCGAUUUCCGAAUGGGGAAACCCAGUGUGAUUCGUCACACUAUCAUUAACUGAAUCCAUAGGUUAAUGAGGCGAACCGGGGGAACUGAAACAUCUAAGUACCCCGAGGAAAAGAAAUCAACCGAGAUUCCCCCAGUAGCGGCGAGCGAACGGGGAGGAGCCCAGAGCCUGAAUCAGCAUGUGUGUUAGUGGAAGCGUCUGGAAAGGCGCGCGAUACAGGGUGACAGCCCCGUACACAAAAGCGCAUGUGCUGUGAGCUCGAUGAGUAGGGCGGGACACGUGGUAUCCUGUCUGAAUAUGGGGGGACCAUCCUCCAAGGCUAAAUACUCCUGACUGACCGAUAGUGAACCAGUACCGUGAGGGAAAGGCGAAAAGAACCCCGGCGAGGGGAGUGAAAAAGAACCUGAAACCGUGUACGUACAAGCAGUGGGAGCACAGGUUUACCUGUGUGACUGCGUACCUUUUGUAUAAUGGGUCAGCGACUUAUAUUCUGUAGCAAGGUUAACCGAAUAGGGGAGCCGGAGGGAAACCGAGUCUUAAUUGGGCGUUAAGUUGCAGGGUAUAGACCCGAAACCCGGUGAUCUAGCCAUGGGCAGGUUGAAGGUUGGGUAACACUAACUGGAGGACCGAACCGACUAAUGUUGAAAAAUUAGCGGAUGACCUGUGGCUGGGGGUGAAAGGCCAAUCAAACCGGGAGAUAGCUGGUUCUCCCCGAAAGCUAUUUAGGUAGCGCCUCGUGAAUUCAUCUCCGGGGGUAGAGCACUGUUUCGGCUAGGGGGCCAUCCCGGCUUACCAACCCGAUGCAAACUGCGAAUACCGGAGAAUGUUAUCACGGGAGACACACGGCGGGUGCUAACGUCCGUCGUGAAGAGGGAAACAACCCAGACCGCCAGCUAAGGUCCCAAAGUCAUGGUUAAGUGGGAAACGAUGUGGGAAGGCCCAGACAGCCAGGAUGUUGGCUUAGAAGCAGCCAUCAUUUAAAGAAAGCGUAAUAGCUCACUGGUCGAGUCGGCCUGCGCGGAAGAUGUAACGGGGCUAAACCAUGCACCGAAGCUGCGGCAGCGACACUGUGUGUUGUUGGGUAGGGGAGCGUUCUGUAAGCCUGUGAAGGUGUGUCGUGAGGCAUGCUGGAGGUAUCAGAAGUGCGAAUGCUGACAUAAGUAACGAUAAAGCGGGUGAAAAGCCCGCUCGCCGGAAGACCAAGGGUUCCUGUCCAACGUUAAUCGGGGCAGGGUGAGUCGACCCCUAAGGCGAGGCCGAAAGGCGUAGUCGAUGGGAAACGGGUUAAUAUUCCCGUACUUGGUGUUACUGCGAAGGGGGGACGGAGAAGGCUAUGUUGGCCGGGCGACGGUUGUCCCGGUUUAAGCGUGUAGGUGUGUGUUCCAGGUAAAUCCGGUUCACUUUAACACUGAGGCGUGACGACGAGGCACUACGGUGCUGAAGCAACAAAUGCCCUGCUUCCAGGAAAAGCCUCUAAGCAUCAGGUAACAUCAAAUCGUACCCCAAACCGACACAGGUGGUCAGGUAGAGAAUACCAAGGCGCUUGAGAGAACUCGGGUGAAGGAACUAGGCAAAAUGGUGCCGUAACUUCGGGAGAAGGCACGCUGACACGUAGGUGAAGUGAUUUACUCAUGGAGCUGAAGUCAGUCGAAGAUACCAGCUGGCUGCAACUGUUUAUUAAAAACACAGCACUGUGCAAACACGAAAGUGGACGUAUACGGUGUGACGCCUGCCCGGUGCCGGAAGGUUAAUUGAUGGGGUCAGCGCAAGCGAAGCUCCUGAUCGAAGCCCCGGUAAACGGCGGCCGUAACUAUAACGGUCCUAAGGUAGCGAAAUUCCUUGUCGGGUAAGUUCCGACCUGCACGAAUGGCGUAAUGAUGGCCAGGCUGUCUCCACCCGAGACUCAGUGAAAUUGAACUCGCUGUGAAGAUGCAGUGUACCCGCGGCAAGACGGAAAGACCCCGUGAACCUUUACUAUAGCUUGACACUGAACAUUGAGCCUUGAUGUGUAGGAUAGGUGGGAGGCUUUGAAGUGUGGACGCCAGUCUGCAUGGAGCCGACCUUGAAAUACCACCCUUUAAUGUUUGAUGUUCUAACGUGGACCCGUUACCCGGGUUGCGGACAGUGUCUGGUGGGUAGUUUGACUGGGGCGGUCUCCUCCUAAAGAGUAACGGAGGAGCACGAAGGUUGGCUAAUCCUGGUCGGACAUCAGGAGGUUAGUGCAAUGGCAUAAGCCAGCUUGACUGCGAGCGUGACGGCGCGAGCAGGUGCGAAAGCAGGUCAUAGUGAUCCGGUGGUUCUGAAUGGAAGGGCCAUCGCUCAACGGAUAAAAGGUACUCCGGGGAUAACAGGCUGAUACCGCCCAAGAGUUCAUAUCGACGGCGGUGUUUGGCACCUCGAUGUCGGCUCAUCACAUCCUGGGGCUGAAGUAGGUCCCAAGGGUAUGGCUGUUCGCCAUUUAAAGUGGUACGCGAGCUGGGUUUAGAACGUCGUGAGACAGUUCGGUCCCUAUCUGCCGUGGGCGCUGGAGAACUGAGGGGGGCUGCUCCUAGUACGAGAGGACCGGAGUGGACGCAUCACUGGUGUUCGGGUUGUCAUGCCAAUGGCACUGCCCGGUAGCUAAAUGCGGAAGAGAUAAGUGCUGAAAGCAUCUAAGCACGAAACUUGCCCCGAGAUGAGUUCUCCCUGAGACUUUAAGUCUCCUGAAGGAACGUUGAAGACGACGACGUUGAUAGGCCGGGUGUGUAAGCGCAGCGAUGCGUUGAGCUAACCGGUACUAAUGAACCGUGAGGCUUAACCUU